rnacentral:rRNA from 1 species
GAUGAACGCUGGCGGCGUGCCUAAUACAUGCAAGUCGAGCGAACGGACGAGAAGCUUGCUUCUCUGAUGUUAGCGGCGGACGGGUGAGUAACACGUGGAUAACCUACCUAUAAGACUGGGAUAACUUCGGGAAACCGGAGCUAAUACCGGAUGAUAUUUUGAACCGCAUGGUUCAAAAGUGAAAGACGGUCUUGCUGUCACUUAUAGAUGGAUCCGCGCUGCAUUAGCUAGUUGGUAAGGUAACGGCUUACCAAGGCAACGAUGCAUAGCCGACCUGAGAGGGUGAUCGGCCACACUGGAACUGAGACACGGUACAGACUCCUACGGGAGGCAGCAGUAGGGAAUCUUCCGCAAUGGGCGAAAGCCUGACGGAGCAACGCCGCGUGAGUGAUGAAGGUCUUCGGAUCGUAAAACUCUGUUAUUAGGGAAGAACAUAUGUGUAAGUAACUGUGCACAUCUUGACGGUACCUAAUCAGAAAGCCACGGCUAACUACGUG